rnacentral:lncRNA from 1 species
UUAAUUACAAUGUACUAAUUAACCGAUUUUUGAUUUUUAGUAUAUAUACAUAUAUUUACAGUGAGAGUUCGGUUAUUAUAUUCUUGUGAGUAUAAACUAUUUUAUACUUAUAAAAUUUUUUAGAUCUAUUAUUUUGAUCAUUUUCAACCAUUGGAUCAUACAAUUCAAACAAUCAUCUAUUCAAUUCUAGAGGACUACUAUCAUCAUAAUCGGAGGUCUGUAUUAUCCUAACCGCACAUUAUUUCAUCAAACGGCCGAAAAUUUAUAAGUAUAAAAAAAUUUAUAAUCAAAAGAGUAUAGCUUCUCUAUUUAAUUAAUGCAU